UCCCUGGUGGCUCAGACGGUAAAGCGUCUGCCCGCAAUGCAGGAGACCCAGGUUCGAUUCCUGGGUCGGGAA
rfam:Ovis aries breed Texel chromosome 1, whole genome shotgun sequence.